UUCCCUUCACGAAAACUCCACGAAAAACCUAGCCCCUCCAAAACUCAUCUCCACCCAAACUCCACGAUAAACCCAACUCCACCAAAACCAUCCUCCGUGUAGCCUCCUCCGCCACUUCUCCACUUCAACCGUGACCUAGCCUCCUCUGCCACUCCUCUGUGCUGCCAGGACCUAACUUCCUCUGCCACUCCUCCAUGCCGCUCGCGACCUAGUAUCCGCCACUCUUCUGCGCCGCCGGCGACCUAGUCUCCUCCGCCACCCCUCCGUGCCGCCUGUGACCCAAUCCCCUUUAAAGCCACUGAAGCUUUCACGCCUCUUCCAAUGCUAUAGUUUCUAUCACUUAGGGUUGUCUGUUUGUGCGGCCAGUAGCCGAUCCUUUCCUUCGUCGGGUUAGCAGCAAGAUUCUCCUUUCCUUUUUCAACGCACUAUUGACUUUCGAGACGACGUCAUGCCCAUCUUCACUGCGUUGGUAGCAACGGUGCUUUCUUUUCAGGCGCUCCCUUUGAUCACCUACAUGCUAUCGAUCGAGUAGUCCAAAAACCUCUUCUCCUUGCUCAAUUUGGAGUUGAAGUCCUUUGAUGAGAUUAUCGCUAAUUACCUAUCACAGUUCCUGCGGGAAGCCUGGUUUAGGGUUUGCUUUUCCCUUGCUAUCCUCCUCAAGGUAGGAGAUCAUUUGUCUUUUUUUGCUACUAGACGGUGCUUUGAUGGAUUAGGUUUGCAUGAUUCGACUCUCGCUUUGUUCUUAGGCUAUUAAAUGGAGUUAUUGGCCUUCUUAUUUUGAAACCCAUUUGCUUAGUAUUAUUUGUUAUUCAGCUUAGGGAUGUUGACUUGCCUCCGCUUUUGACAGUUAGAUGUUUUUUUUAAUCGUAAAUGUCGUUUCCAAGAACAACAUCACGACCUAAGGCUGCACUCCUAAUAAAAUUUCAAAAUAACAUGAAGUGAAAGUAGAAUUUGAGUUUCUCCUUGCUCAAUUCUUACAAUUGUUUGGCAGAGAAGUGGAGAAAAUGAAUCAUUAUAGUUUGGUAGUGAAUCAAUGGAUUGGGCUUCGUGGGUCCAAUUCUCAUAAAUCAAAAGGUUUAUGUUCUUAAUUUGAAUUGAAUGAUUGGAUACUUCAAGUAGCAUUUUCUGUUUCUGCGCUGGUAUUGUUCAGGGACAAUGUCGUGGGCCUUUUGCAGUGGGCACAGAAGUCUUGGGAUUGGUUGUUUGUUGUUUGCUGAUGUGUAAUGAGAUAGGGAUGAAACUUUGUUGACUUACUAAAGAUAUCUGCUCUCUUGUGCGUUGUGUUUCCCUCCAGCACUCUCUGGCUAUACAUGAGAGGUUAACAUGACAACAUCAAGCACGCAAGUGAUUCUGAACCCCUAUUCAUACUUUUGAUAUUUGAAUUUAUUUUUUUUUUCCUUUGAAUUCUUUUGAUAACUUGCGAGGAACUAUGGAAUAAAUAAGAUAUCAGUUGUUACAAGGUGUUGAAAGCAUCUAGCUAAUACUGUCGUAGUUGCUACUAAACUUGUAUUCCAGAAUCAUAUAUGACUCCAGAAGUCCAAUUUUGUGGUAUAUUAUUGGGUGGCACAACCCAUGUUUCAUCUCCGUCAUCACUUCCACUCAGUAGCAUCCUCACAAGUAGCAUCCUCACAGAGAGAGUUCCACUUGGUGGAGAUGCCACUGCCCACACUGCUCCAUGGCUUCUCUCCAACAACUUUAUCCGGGGAAGUUUUCUACUAUUUAAUAUUGUUAUUCCUGUUGUGAUGUUAUGCUCUAUUAUUUGUUAAGAUUGAAUGUAUCUUAUUUUUUUACCAAAAAAAAUGAAUAUGUAUCUGCAAUUUAUAAAUUCCUUUGCUUCUUCAUUUGUCUUUAA